rnacentral:rRNA from 1 species
GAUCAUGGCUCAGGACGAACGCUGGCGGCGCGCCUAACACAUGCAAGUCGAACGAGCGAGAGAGAGCUUGUUUUCUCGAGCGAGUGGCGAACGGGUGAGUAACGCGUGAGGAACCUGCCUCAGAGAGGGGGACAACAGUUGGAAACGACUGCUAAUACCGCAUAAGCCCACGACCCGGCAUCGGGUAGAGGGAAAAGGAGCAAUCCGCUUUGAGAUGGCCUCGCGUCCGAUUAG